AGUACGCCACCAUUUGUACGAAGGCCGACCUUUAUGGUUAUAAUAUAUGGUAUAAUCCGACAGUGGUAUAAUGGAGUUUUACAUUUCAAUUUUAUUUAAGUUUUUUGAUUGUUGUUCAAAUGUCAAUAAUCUGCAUGCCAAAAUAAUAUAUUUAAUGUUAUAUUGCAUGGAUUACCAACUAAAAUAAACCAUGCUUUGGAAUCAUGUGCCUUAAAUCGUAAUAAUAUUACACGACCUCUUGAGAAAAUAAUUACAAUCGUUGAAAAUACUUAUAUUGAAAAAGAAAUCAACAACUGCUAAUUUGUGGGAACUGGUUCUAUCGAAAGGCAUGAUUUAGAAACAACUACUUAAAAGAUAUCAGACAAAAAAUUUAACUUUAAUUUAAAGCCUUGUGCAUACCAUGUAUGCAAUUAUAGAUCUGCAUUCAUUUUCAUGUUAAAAAUACAUUACAGAAUUCACACCAGUGAAAAGUCUUACAAAUGUUAUGUUUUUGAUGUAUCAUUUAGACAAAAUUCUACUUUGAACAUGCCCAUAAUGAGAGCUCAUCCGGGGAAAAACCUUAUGCAUGUAAAAUAUUUGAUUAUAGAUUUACUACAUCGUCAGCAUUACAUAAUAGAUCUCAUAACAGGGAAAAGCAUUAUUCAUGCAAAACAUAUGAUUAUAUAGAGGUUCUUCAUUUUCAGCCUUAAAAAUUCACAAUAAAACUCAUACUGGUGAAAACCCUUAUGCACGCACAAGCUGUAAUUAUAGAGGUUCUUCAUCUUCAGCCUUAAGCCUUCAAAAUGCAUAAUAUGCUUUAAAACAUUUUCUAAUAAAUUCAGUAUAAGAAUCCAUAUGAGUACUCAUGGAUUUCAGCCUUAAUAGCUCGUUUGAUCUAAAAUGGAAAGUAUACCACUGAAAAGUGAGUGAACGACAGCUUUUAUUGUUUAUUUUUCUUCUACAUUGUGAACAGGAGGACAGGAAAGUACAUGAAUAUAUUAAUUAUAAUUAUAUUUCUGUAUCAUGUUAUCAAAAAUAUAAUGAGAUAUAAUUUAUAAUUUAAAAUGAGUUAAUCUUUUCUUGCAUGUAUUUUUUUAAAGAUAUAUUUACUCAUUUUAACAUAGAAAUACAGUUGUACAAAACAAUGGUAACCAUUAAUUUGAAUAAUAAAUAACAUAAUAUUAAGAAUAAGUAUUACAAUACCUAUUUAAGUCUUGUAAGCAUAAAAAAAAUCGUAUAACAUGGUAAAUGGUAGGAGUAUAAAGUUGAAUGUUUUACAAAAUAAAAAUUAUAAUUAUAUAAUUAUGAAAAAAAAAAAA